GACAGAGGUGCCGAGCGUUAGGCGGAAUCACUGGGCUUAAAGCGUGUGUAGGCGGGCCGUUAAGUAUCUUGUGAAAUCCCCCGGCUCAACCGGGGAAUGGCUGGAUAUACUGGCGGUCUUGAGCGAUCUAGGGGCAGAUGGAACAAGUGGUGGAGCGGUGAAAUGCGUAGAUAUCACUUGGAACGCCAAAGGUGAAAACAGUCUGCUGGGGAUCUGCUGACGCUGAGACACGAAGGCCAGGGGAGCGAACGGG
rnacentral:rRNA from 1 species